rnacentral:rRNA from 1 species
CAAAAACGGGCGCUUACCAUGCAGUCGCACGAGAAAGGGCUUCGGCCCCGGUACAGUGGCGCACGGGUGAGUAACACGUAGGUAAUCUAUCCUUGGGUGGUGGAUAACUCCUCGAAAGGGGGGCUAAUACAGCAUGAGACCACGACGGGAAGGACGUUGAGGUCAAAGGGUGCAUAUGCAAGCAAGCACUCGCCUGAGGAUGAGCCUGCGGCCCAUCAGCUAGUUGGUAGGGUAACGGCCUACCAAGGCAAAGACGGGUAGCCGGUCUGAGAGGAUGAUCGGCCACACUGGAACUGAGACACGGUCCAGACUCCUACGGGAGGCAGCAGUGAGGAAUUUUGCGCAAUGGGCGAAAGCCUGACGCAGCGACGCCGCGUGGGUGAUGAAGGCCUUCGGGUUGUAAAGCCCUGUGGGGAGGGAAGAAUAAGGGUGUUCGAAUAGGGCAUCUGAUGACGGUACCUCCUUAGCAAGCACCGGCUAACUCUGUGCCAGCAGCCGCGGUAAGACAGAGGGUGCAAACGUUGUUCGGAAUUACUGGGCGUAAAGCGCGUGUAGGCGGCCUAGCAAGUCGGGUGUGAAAGCCCUUGGCUCAACUGAGGAAGAGCAUUCGAAACUGCGAGGCUUGAGUUCCGGAGAGGAUGGUGGAAUUCUCGGUGUAGAGGUGAAAUUCGUAGAUAUCGAGAGGAACACCGGUGGCGAAGGCGGCCAUCUGGACGGAAACUGACGCUGAGACGCGAAAGCAUGGGGAGCAAACAGGAUUAGAUACCCUGGUAGUCCAUGCCGUAAACGAUGGGUGCUAGGUGUCGCGAGCAUGACACUCGCGGUGCCGAAGCCAACGCAUUAAGCACCCCGCCUGGGGAGUACGGCCGCAAGGCUAAAACUCAAAGGAAUUGACGG